UACAGAGGGUGCGAGCGUUAAUCGGAAUUACUGGGCGUAAAGCGCGCGUAGGCGGCUUUGCAAGUCGGGUGUGAAAUCCCCAGGCUUAACCUGGGAACUGCAUUCGAGACUGCAUUGCUAGAGUAUGGGAGAGGGAAGUGGAAUUUCCGGUGUAGCGGUGAAAUGCGUAGAUAUCGGAAGGAACAUCAGUGGCGAAAGCGACUUACUGGACACAUAUUGACGCUGAGGUGCGAAAGCGUGGGGAGCAAACAGG
rnacentral:rRNA from 1 species